AUGAACGCUGGCGGCGUGCCUAAUACAUGCAAGUCGAGCGAAUGGAUUGAGAGCUUGCUCUCAAGAAGUUAGCGGCGGACGGGUGAGUAACACGUGGGUAACCUGCCCAUAAGACUGGGAUAACUCCGGGAAACCGGGGCUAAUACCGGAUAACAUUUUGAACUGCAUGGUUCGAAAUUGAAAGGCGGCUUCGGCUGUCACUUAUGGAUGGACCCGCGUCGCAUUAGCUAGUUGGUGAGGUAACGGCUCACCAAGGCAACGAUGCGUAGCCGACCUGAGAGGGUGAUCGGCCACACUGGGACUGAGAUACGGCCCAGACUCCUACGGGAGGCAGCAGUGGGGAAUAUUGCACAAUAGGGCGCAAGCCUGAUGCAGCGACGCCGCGUGGGGGAUGACGGCCUUACGGGUUGUAAACCUCUUUCACCAUCGAACGAAGGUCCGGGUUUUCUCGGAUUGACGGUUAGGUGGAGAAGAAGCACCGGCCAACUACGUGCCAGCUGCCGCGGUAAUACGUUGGGUGCCGAGCGUUGUCCGGAAUUACUGGGCGUUAAGAGCUCGUAUGCGGCUUGUCUCGUCUGCUGUGAAAUCUCCGGGGCUUAACCCCGGGCGUGCAGUGGAUACGGGCUGGCUGGAGGCAGGCAGGGGAGAAUGGAAUUCCCGGUGUAGCGGUGAAAUGCGCAGAUAUCGGGAGGAACACCGGUGGCGAAGGCGGUUCUCUGGGCCUGUUCUGACGCUGAGGAGCGAAAGCGUGGGGAGCGAACAGGAUUAGAUACCCUGGUAGUCCACGCCGUAAACGUUGGGCGCUAGGUGUGGGGUCCUUCCACGGGCUCUGUGCCGCAGCUAACGCAUUAAGCGCCCCGCCUGGGGAGUACGGCCGCAAGGCUAAAACUCAAAGGAAUUGACGGGGGCCCGCACAAGCGGCGGAGC
rnacentral:rRNA from 1 species